rnacentral:rRNA from 1 species
UACGUAGGGGGCUAGCGUUAUCCGGAUUCAUUGGGCGUAAAGGGCGUCUAGGCGGCUUGGUAAGUCAGGUGUGAAAACCGGGGGCUCAACCCGCGGCCUGCACCUGAAACUGCCAGGCUUGAGUCUGGUAGAGGAAAGUGGAAUUCCCAGUGUAGCGGUGAAAUGCGCAGAUAUUGGGAGGAACACCAGUGGCGAAGGCGGCUUUCUGGGCCACGACUGACGCUGAAGCGCGAAAGCUAGGGGAG